AUGGAUGUUUUGGUGUCUAAUUCCCCCUUCAUUAAGCCUCACAGCAGUGUGUUUUUAAUCCAAAAAUGCUCAGAUAUUCAGUAAAGCUGCCUUAAAGCAAACACACAUAAUUACAGCUGAGAGCCCUGUAUUGGAGUGUGUGAUUGUAUAUUGCUUGUGUAGAGUGUCAAGCGUGCGUGCUGCACAUUGUGCCUGGAGAGAUUGAUGUUUUGUCAUCCACCUGCUUCUAAGCUGUAAAGGCAAGCGCAGCAAAGGCAAACCUACCCAGCUUCAAAAUCCAAACAAAGAAAUCUUAGUGGGCUGUUUACAUAUCUGUGGAAGGAUAUCUGGGCUUGUGUUGACGGGGUGCUAGAGUGGUUGAGAGAUCAGUCCCCGCACAAUGGACGAGUGGGAAAUCAAAGACUGGAAUGCUGGGGAAACUGACAGAGGGGUGAGCUCUGGAAAGGAGGACGGAUACUUCCUGUUCCUGCUGGAGUGACCCGCAGGUCUGAGGAGGAGUGAGGGAGAGGAAGGCAGAGAAAGCGAGUUUUCUUUGAAGUACCCUGUGAAACCUGCUGGUGUAAACAUACCUCUGAUUGGGACUCACUGAUGUAAUGGACAAACAAGCACAAAAUGUGUCGAUAUCCAGAUCAAAUCUCCCAGGUGAGCAAUGGCUUGGACCUGCAGAGUUAGCUGGAUGUCUCGUUCUCUUGGCUUCAGCCUGGAAAAGUGCUGAUCAUGGAAGGGGUGCUGGAGGAGCUCUCUCUUGGGCAGAUGACACUUAACUGUGUGUUCUACUUACCCGUUCGGGUCUCUCCAGCCUGAGACAGAUGACAGAUACAUCAGGUCUGGGUUCAGCUGCAGGGCCUCAGGAGAGCAAGAGGAAGCUGCUCUCAUCCUGGCCCAGUGUUGAGAAGUGUAUUGCAGGGAGAGUUUCCAGCUCCACUGGGAGCCGGCUGGUGGAUUUGCCCUGCGCUCUGGCCAUUCAGAGGACGAUGGUGUAAGAGGAACUCAGAAGGCCGAGGAUGAGAUUAAAAAAGCGAAUUUGGGCGAUAACGCUCAGACUAGAUAUAAGCUCUAGUGGUGUUGGUUGUGUUCUGGAAGACCUGAGGGACACAACGGCUACCAUGCACAUCUGCAUCCUGUAUGUGGCUGAGGGGGGUUCCCAGCUGAACUUGGCUGAGGUCAGUGUCUGGUCAAAUGGAGUCGGGCCUGUGUGUCUGUGGGGGUGCAGAUGAAGUGGUCAGCGGUGUGACAGUUAGCGGGGAUUCUGACAGCCCCAGGUCCAGUGUGGAUUAGAGAGCCUCACGGAUUUAUGAAGAAUCCAGAAAUGUGUGUCAUCAUUAUGGAAAAAGGCCUGUUCUGACUGACUAAAUGGCAGACAUUUGAAGCUGCGGGCGACACAGAUCCACUGAUUGGUGGAGUUUGGAUCAGAGCACAGGAAGAAGUCAAGCUAAGCAGUCACGAGCAAGAGAACAUUCGGCUCCUCUCUCAUCCGCCACAUACUUGACCCACAGUAACUCCGCUUUGACAGAGCAUCACAGCUUUUCUGUCUUUGUUGAAGAAGGCUGACAGAAGCUCGCUUCUGGUUACGUUUUGCGAACUGUCACUCUUCCUGAAGAUAACACCCCUGCACAGAGGCUUGGAAAUGCCAAGGUGUCGAUGUGUGCGAUGCCAGGAAAGGUCAGGAGAUGAUUUACUGAACAUUUAUGGAGGCUUUAUCUUCAAUCCUUGUCACCAAGUCGGGCGAUGCUUCAUAGUGGGUCGCCAAACAGACGUGGAAAAAGAGAGAGCGGGACAACGCCACAACCCCUGAGUUCCGCAAUGACACAGUCUUUAACCAGUCCAACUCUUGGCAGGUACAGAAUACUAAAGGACCAUUUUAUUUCUAAAUGAGUCUGGAUGGCGCACCACAAAGACUGGAAAUGCUACUGCCCUUUCAUUUUAAAUGGCUAUCGGGUUCAUCCUACACAUAAAACCCAUCACAGAAAAUGAAUAUAAGCGGUAGGAGAAGAGACUGGAGAUGUGAACUGUCCCUCUGGAACGGGCUGCCAUUAAGUUUACUAAAAAUGUCUGAUGGUUUCACCCAGACAGUUAGGAGAGCUGUGUCUAAACGGGAUCCAGAUCUCUGCAAUUAAGGACCCUGGUGGAUCCAAUCAAGAAAUCACACGAAUGGCUGAAUAUGGUGGACUUGUGAAAGAUCAGGGCAUUCAGGCUGGUGACAUUCCUCCUGGCGAGCAGAUCCAUCCUGGGCCGGGGGUGAAAAAUGCAGCACCGCGCUACUGCUCAGCUGCAGAUGAAUGGAGCUAUCUGUCUUGUCACGAGGGGUCGGCUGGAGAGGUUACAGCCCAACUGUACCUGGUCUCUGAUGCUGAUGCCUGCACGCCGCUUCCCUUUACAAGAGAAGAAACAUAAAAACAGAAGAGAGGGAGAGACAGAGAGAGGGAGAAACAAAUCCUGCCCCAUCAAGCACUUCUUCAGUCCCUCCAGAGCCCAUCUCACUUCCCAUCAUCCCGAAGUCCUGCUGCCCUGAGCGCAGGCUUUGACACAUCUAUAUGUUUUUCCUUCUGACCUUUCAACGUCCUUUCUGUCAGUGCCUGUAAACCAUAAGCUGAUGUAUGAGGGCAAUUUUUAGCGGUGCCACUUGUAUCUGAGUGAUUGCGCACACUUUACAUUUGGGGGGUCUGCCACCCUGCCACCUCCUCAACAUCUCUUUAUUUGCUUUGCUUGAUAUUGAGGCAGAGAAACUGAGGGGAAGGAAUAAAAAGAGUGGAUGGGGAGGGGACGGUGGAGCCCAUUCAACCUCUGGGCAACAGGUCUGUACUUUAUCAGUCCAGCGAGCUGAGCCCUCAGGCCAGGCCUGACCAAUCACUCCUUGGAAACAGGUACUUGAACAAACAUCAACAUCAGUGAGACAGACUCCUGUACAAAGGGUUUCAGUGGAAUACUGACUUUCACUGGAAUUCUGAUCUCACAUAUUAAUGUCUAAUCCAAAUACCUGUCAUUUCAAACAGGGGGCCUAUUUUAAAAUAUUAUUUAAAACUAUACAAGUAUCCCAAUGAUACUAAAAUGACACUGAUACAAUGGCAAUAAAAAAGUGAGGAAACAACAUGACUUUAACUGAAUAAAAAAUUAUAUUUUUCUCAUACAUUAUAAAUGUAAUUAUAUAUGUAUUUUGAAGGGAGUCCCUCACAAGGGCAUCAUCAUAUUUGUGGGUCUUUGGUAUUAAAAACUUUAAAAACCUGCUCAAAUCUGAUUGAAUGAGUGUUGUAAGACUGUACAAUAUUUUGUCACACUUUACUUUAGUUCUCUUGUUUUAACAUUGAUCUGUAACACAGUAGCUUAAUCUGUCAUGUCUGUUAAUAAAUUUUGCCAUUGCUCUCAGAAAUGUUCAAAUUCUUAUGUGUCUACAAUCUCCAAGCAGUGUCUACCAUAAUCCAAAGAAUUAACGGUGCUGUUCAUGUCCUGUGGUAGAUGCUGCAGAAAACUUGUGUGCACAAGCAUCACAGUGUCCCAUUAUCCUCGGUGUUCGCCACUGACAACAUUUUCUGGUGACAUAUGUUUACUGUCACAUCCUGAACACUUGGGUCAGCUGCCUCUCUACUCUUCUCAUCACAAACUCUGACAGCCUAACAAAGCAGUCAUUAGACAGCCUCUCAGACACGACUAGCACACCCCCUUUGCUUUAGGGAAAACUAGCAUAAUGAAAUAAAAUGCAGAGAGGACUUAGCAUCCGCCCAAAACAAACACGCACGAAACAAAACCUCCCUCAUCUCUUUCAGAUUUUCUUUUUUCUUUCCCUCCUCUGGUUCUUGAUCUCCAUAUUUAGCAUUAUGACAUUUUAAUUUGUGCAUCUUCAAAAUAGCACUGUCAGUGGUAUAAAUAUGGAGUACCACUCCUGUGAGAAAAGCCUUUAUACUUUAGUAGGUUAAAACUAAUACAAACAAAACUGGAAUUAUUAAUUAUAAAAAAGGAGAGAGAGGGAAAGAGAGAGAACGAGAGAGACGAAAUCCCCAGAUUUCAAUAUUAUUUGCAUUUCGAUUUUGAGCCUGAUUUUGAGCAACUUGACUGUUUUCCCUCCUCUUGCUUUCUCUCUAAUAUCUUGCAGGAUCAAAGGCUUUCAUUAGGUUUAACUCCUCCAAGCAUUGUUUGCCUCCCAGGACUACAACACAGUUCCCUCAGUGUGCCAGAUUCAGAAGAAUAAAGAAUUAGUUAUUCCUGGACUAAUUUGACAUCAAACAGUGGAGAGGAAGAUAAAAGUGACAAUGGUGACCGGGGAACAUUGGCCAUGUGUUUCCACAGGCCCCCAGGGCAGUCAACCUCACACUCUCGCACCUAGAAAAUACCUUUUAGAUGAAGAUGAUGGCUAAUAAUAGUAAUAAUAAUAAUAUAUAUGUAAUAAUAAUAAUAAUUGUUAUUAUUCCUGGUUAUGUUCAUGAUUGGUUGGUGUUGAGUGUUUGCACAUGUUAGUGUGAGUCACUGAUGAAUUAGUGUGGCAUUUUGAGAAAAUCAAGAUAAUUCCUGUUAAAUUUUUGUGUGUUACAUAGAGAAUUGUGUAUUUUGUUUUGCAAAAAGUGUUUAAUGGAAUUGAAAACUGGGUCAAAAGCCAAUAAUUAGUGUAUGGCUUUACAGAUUUGGUGUGUGGUUCUGGUGUUUAAGUGUCAGGUUUCAUAAAUUGUGUGACAAGUAAAGAUUUUGUGUGUAAGCAAUUUAAAAAAAAAAGAAAGAAAGAAAAGAAAAAACCUGCAGUUCGUUAAUCUAGGGAUUUAUAUGUCUGUGUGUGUGUGUGUGUGUGUGUGUGUGUGUGUGUGUGUGUGU